rnacentral:misc_RNA from 1 species
AGGACAUAUAUGAGGGGUUGUUAUAAGUUCUUUGGUGAGUGCUUUAAAAAAAGAAUCAACCUUAAAUAUAUAAAUGUCAUUAAGGACAUAAAUAAGGGGUUGUUUCAAGUAUAAGAAUGGUGGGAAGGGAUAUGGACGAGUUUCCCAUAACAGUAGGUUUACAUUAAAGAUCAACUUAGAGUUUGUACUUGUUUACCUUAGUUAUGGAUGAGUUAACCAAUCAUAUUCAAG